AUUGAACGCUGGCGGCAGGCCUAACACAUGCAAGUCGGACGGUAGCACAGAGGAGCUUGCUCCUUGGGUGACGAGUGGCGGACGGGUGAGUAAUGUCUGGGGAUCUGCCCGAUAGAGGGGGAUAACCACUGGAAACGGUGGCUAAUACCGCAUAACGUCGCAAGACCAAAGAGGGGGACCUUCGGGCCUCUCACUAUCGGAUGAACCAAGAUGGGAUUAGCUAGUAGGCGGGGUAAUGGCCCACCUAGGCGACGAUCCCUAGCUGGUCUGAGAGGAUGACCAGCCACACUGGAACUGAGACACGGUCCAGACUCCUACGGGAGGCAGCAGUGGGGAAUAUUGCACAAUGGGCGCAAGCCUGAUGCAGCCAUGCCGCGUGUAUGAAGAAGGCCUUCGGGUUGUAAAGUACUUUCAGCGGGGAGGAAGGCGGUGAGGUUAAUAACCUCACCGAUUGACGUUACCCGCAGAAGAAGCACCGGCUAACUCCGUGCCAGCAGCCGCGGUAA
rnacentral:rRNA from 1 species